rnacentral:rRNA from 1 species
CGGCAGGCUUAACACAUCAAAGUCGAGGGGUAACAUUGUGCUUGCACAGAUGACGACCGGCGCACGGGUGCGUAACGCGUAUAGAACCUACCUUUUACAGAGGAAUAGCCUUUAGAAAUGAAGAUUAAUGCCUCAUAGUAUUGUAGACUGGCAUCAGUUUAUAAUUAAAGAUUUAUCGGUAAAAGAUGGCUAUGCGUCCUAUUAGUUAGUUGGUAAGGUAACGGCUUACCAAGACAGCGAUAGGUAGGGGUCCUGAGAGGGAGAUCCCCCACACUGGUACUGAGACACGGACCAGACUCCUACGGGAGGCAGCAGUGAGGAAUAUUGGACAAUGGAGGAGACUCUGAUCCAGCCAUGCCGCGUGUAGGAAGAAUGCCCUAUGGGUUGUAAACUACUUUUAUACAGGAAGAAACACUGGUAUGUAUACCAGCUUGACGGUACUGUAAGAAUAAGGACCGGC